rnacentral:lncRNA from 1 species
GCCCGCCCGCGUCAGCUGACCUGGCUUCCGCGGGCCCUGCGCCCUCGCGCUCCCGGGCCCCGGCCGCCCCCACGCCCCACGCCGCGCCCGCCGGCCCGGCCCUCCCUCCCCAGCUGGCCCGGCCGCCGCGGCCUCUUCCGCCCGGCGCCCGCGCAUUCCUGCCAUUCCCCCGAGUCGGCCCGCGGGCUACGGCCGCCUGCGGAGCGCAGGAACCUUCACCUCCCGAGGACAGGCGCCUUCCCCUCGGGACCCGGCUCCCCUGCUGCCUGCGCCGCUCUGUCCCCCUGCCGCUGCCCAAGCCUCCAGCAGGGGCCACCGAGGGCUCCAGGAGCACCCCAGGCCCGUUCUUCUGGCCCACAGCGCCCCUCCUGUGACCCUCAGCGACCCUCCUGUCCUGCCCUCCGGCGGCGCGGCUGUCUGGAGACUCUGCACCGUCGCGGCCUCGCAGCCUCGCAGCCCCGCGCCGGGUGGGGAGGGGAGGGUGGCGUUCCUGAGUCCGCGGAGGAAAGGGUCGCAGCUGCAGUCGCGCCAGCCCUCGGGCCUACAUCCGCUCCGCCGCGACGCGGCUCACAAACUAGGGAGGGGAGAAGGGAAGAAAGACCCGAUUCGGGAACACGGCUUUGUCCCUGGAACUGUACCUCAUGUCCCCUCACUUAAUCCUCCCAAGACCUGUGGGGCGUGUCGUCAUUUUAGGGCUGGAGAUGAGGAAACCGAGGCUCGGAGAGAUGAAGCGUUGUACGGCCACCGAGCGGCUGCUUUGCAACGAAGCCAAAGCCAACGUUUUGUUCUUAGCGGCGGUCGUUUGAGCCACGCCUCACCGCAACGAGUCUGCCAUCAGCCAAGAGGUCACAUCUUUUCUGGAACUCGCUCCCCCCUCACAUCAUGGGAGCAGUCAGUCUACUCUUCCAGUAGAAACUGUUUUGCCACUUUUGGGGGGAAUCUUGAGCUACCAGCUCAUCGCUCAGGUCUUAGAUGACACUUUCCUUGACCCCACCGGGUGCUCCAGCGCCUCUGCUUCCGGUUUUCAUAGCCCUUAUAAUAUCACCUAUUGCAAUUGCCCAUUUCCUUGUCUGUCUCCCUCUGCAGAUGGAGUGAAGGUACCUGAGCGCAGGAACCAUGGUCUUCAUUGCUGCCUCAGCAUUAGCGGAAGUGCCACGGGCCGGCUCCCAGGGGGCCAGAGUUUCCCAGGAACACCAUUGAGUACCACUGAACUAGAGUCUGCAAGUUAAAGUAAGGCAAGAAGGAAAACCGGAAACAACUGUAAAAACCUGACCUUUCGUCACCUUAAUACUGGCCAUCAUUUAUCGAGUGCUUAUUAUGUAACAGACAUUGUUCUCAGUGUGUGAGUGCAGUGUUCCUCAAACCUAAAUGUGGGCCUGAAUCGCAGCGGAUCUUGGUAAAAUGCAGUUUCUCAUUCAGUACCUCUGGGGUGCGGCCUGAGAUUCUGCAUUUCCAACAAGCUCCCAGGAUACUUUGUAUAGAAAGGCUUUGGUGUAUUAACUAACUCGAUCUUCUUAAUAAUCCUAUGAAAUACUACUGCUAUUCCCAUUUUACAGAUGAGGAAACAGAGGUUAAGCAUAUAUGAACUUACAUCAAAAUAAAUAGACUGCAGGGCAAGGAGGGAGGGGAGAAUAGUGUGGGCAGUGUACAGUGCAGAAACAAAGUUCUAGGCAGAGGAAAAAGGAUUUACAGAAAGCCUGGCAUACAGGGCAGGGGGACGGGGCCUGCACACGGGGCUGUUUCACCGUUAGACGUUAUAAGCACAGUACUUGGGGCUAUGGGCUUCCUGAAGGUCCCAAGUAUUUGAGACCUGAAAAAAAUUUAUUGACACCUACAUAGGAAAAGUGAACUUUUAAAUUAAUAAUUCCAAAAUUCAAAUCACGAAUUGUUUCAAAAAUUUUACAUGAUAGAAUUCAUAUUUAGUAAGCGAUACGGGUAUAUUUUAAUGCAUUUGAUUUUAAAAACGGGGUAGGGCCUACUAAGAACAGGCCAAGCCCUGGCCCCAGUGGGUUUGGAUAUAAUCCUGAGGGCAGCUGGGAACCACUGAGAGAAGCAGGAGAAUGUUCUCUGUGGCUACAGUGAGGAGAAUGGAUUGGAGGGAGGCCAGACUGGAGGCCCAGUGGCUAGAGACCAGAUAGGCAGUUACAGUCUUCCAGACUGCGAGACAAUCUCUCUUUAGUGCCAAGAUUAGCAUAAAAUCAUAGCAUUAUAUAACCCAAUUAUUCUUUGAUUCCUGCAUCCCCAAUCUGACUCAGCAUUCUAAAUUUACUUAAGAUCUGGGGACAAGGGUUUUUGGCAAAUCCUUGAAGGCAAAUGAUGUUACAGUCAAUCAGUAUAUGCCUUGAGCCAGACAGACAUGGGUACGGGCCUCAGUUCUGCUGCUUGCUAGCUAUGUGACUUUGCACAAGUGAUUUAACUUCUCUGGGCCUUGGAUUCCUUACUGGUAACACGAGCAUAAUCGAUUCCUCACAGAAUUAAGUGAGAAAACUAUGUAUGUAGGACUUCUUAUGGAGUGGGUACUUAGAAAUAAAUGGUAGCCGUUAUCAUUUAUGUGCCUUUGUUCUGAAAUCUGCUUAAGUUUUCUCUAGGAAGUAACAGAGGGUAGAAUAAAUUAUUUAGUAUUUUCAUCAAUCUUCUGAGAUAAAAAUUAUUAUCCUCAUUUUGCAGAUAAGGAAAAGGGCUCAGAGAUUAGAUCACAGCUCUGUGAAGUAGGGGCACAAAGUGGUCAACCUGGAAGAGCUGGACUUUAUUUUGCUUGCACUUCUGUCCAUGCACUCUCUCCAGCAGUUGACAUUUGCCCUCUUUGAUGGCUCCACGACCAAUUUCCCUUAGUCAUGGCAUGAGUCAGCUGUGAGGGCUGAUGGCACACCACCGAAUACUCUGCUGUGGCGCCACUAGCCUCCAUUUACCUUCUUCUCCAACGUUUUCCAGCCUCCCUCAUACCUUGCCCCCCAGUUUUAUAGCUUCUGGAUUUUCCUUAUUAAAGAGCUUGUUUCUGAGACUCAGAACCGCCCCCGACUGGGAUGUCUUCCAGAGUACCUCCCUUUCAAGGGAGCAGAUAAGUAGGUCACAUCGGGAUGGCGAGGGAGGAAGCUGACUUCUUAUGGGAGGAGGAAAAAUACUGCAGGUCACAUGGAGAAUGGAAAACAAAAUAACAGGGUUUCUCUCUUUUCCUAAUUCUCUCACACAAUCUCACAG